UACGGAGGAUGCGAGCGUUAUCCGGAUUUAUUGGGUUUAAAGGGUGCGUAGGCGGACUGUCAAGUCAGCGGUAAAAUUGAGAGGCUCAACCUCUUCCCGCCGUUGAAACUGGUGGUCUUGAGUGGAUGAGAAGUACGCGGAAUGCGUGGUGUAGCGGUGAAAUGCAUAGAUAUCACGCAGAACUCCGAUUGCGAAGGCAGCGUACCGGCAUCCAACUGACGCUGAGGCACGAAGGCGUGGGUAUCGAACAGG
rnacentral:rRNA from 1 species